GGGGAGGAAUGAAACUCAGUGGUACAGCAUCUGCCUCACUUGUAGAAGGUCCUAGGUUCAAUCCCUGGUGUCCCCA